rnacentral:rRNA from 1 species
UACGUAGGGGGCAAGCGUUGUCCGGAAUCAUUGGGCGUAAAGAGCGUGUAGGCGGCCUGGUAAGUCCGCUGUGAAAGUCCAGGGCUCAACCCUGGAAUGCCGGUGGAAACUGUCAGGCUCGAGUCCGGAAGAGGCGAGUGGAAUUCCUGGUGGUAGCGGUGAAAUGCGCAGAUAUCAGGAGGAACACCGGUGGCGAAGGCGGGUCUCUGGGCCGAUGACUGACGUGGAGGAGCGAAAGCGUGGGGAGCGAACAGGA